UACGUAGGCAGCAAGCGUUGUUCGGAGUUACUGGGCGUAAAGGGUGCGUAGGCGGCUUUUUAAGUUUGGUGUGAAAUCUCCCGGCUCAACUGGGAGGGUGCGCCGAAUACUGAGAGGCUAGAGUGUGGGAGAGGAAAGUGGAAUUCCUGGUGUAGCGGUGAAAUGCGUAGAUAUCAGGAGGAACACCGGUGGCGAAGGCGGGUCUCUGGGCCGAUAUUGACGCUGAGGAGCGAAAGCGUGGGGAGCAAACAGG
rnacentral:rRNA from 1 species